rnacentral:rRNA from 1 species
CCCCUAGUAACUGCGAGUGAAGCGGGAAAAGCUCAAAUUUAAAAUCUGGCGGUCUUUGGCUGUCCGAGUUGUAAUCUAGAGAAGUGUUAUCCGCGCUGGACCGUGUACAAGUCUCCUGGAAUGGAGCGUCAUAGAGGGUGAGAAUCCCGUCUUUGACACGGACUGCCAGGGCUUUGUGAUGCGCUCUCAAAGAGUCGAGUUGUUUGGGAAUGCAGCUCAAAAUGGGUGGUAAAUUCCAUCUAAAGCUAAAUAUUGGCGAGAGACCGAUAGCGAACAAGUACCGUGAGGGAAAGAUGAAAAGAACUUUGGAAAGAGAGUUAAACAGUACGUGAAAUUGCUGAAAGGGAAACGCUUGAAGUCAGUCGCGUUGGCCGGAACUCAACCUUGCUUUUGCUGGGCGUACUUUCCGGUUGACGGGUCAGCAUCAAUUUUGACCGUUGGAUAAAGGUUAGGGGAAUGUGGCAUCUUCGGAUGUGUUAUAGCCCUUGGUCGCAUACAACGGUUGGGAUUGAGGAACUCAGCACGCCGCAAGGCCGGGUAUUUUACCACGUUCGUGCUUAGGAUGCUGGCAUAAUGGCUUUAAUCGACCCGUCUUGAAACACGGACCAAGGAGUCUAACAUGCCUGCGAGUGUUUGGGUGGAAAACCCGAGCGCGUAAUGAAAGUGAAAGUUGAGAUCCCUGUCGUGGGGAGCAUCGACGCCCGGACCAGACCUUUUGUGACGGAUCCGCGGUAGAGCAUGUAUGUUGGGACCCGAAAGAUGGUGAACUAUGCCUGAAUAGGGUGAAGCCAGAGGAAACUCUGGUGGAGGCUCGUAGCGAUUCUGACGUGCAAAUCGAUCGUCAAAUUUGGGUAUAGGGGCGAAAGACUAAUCG